rnacentral:snRNA from 1 species
AGCUCAGUGCAGUGGCAGUAUCAUAGCCAAUGAGGUUUAUCCGAGGCAUGAUUAUUGCUAAUUAAAAUAUUAGCUUUAACAAU